UACAGAGGUGGCAAGCGUUGUUCGGAAUUACUGGGCGUAAAGGGCGCGUAGGCGGCCUACUAAGUCAGACGUGAAAUCCCCGGGCUCAACCCGGGAACUGCGUCCGAUACUGGAAGGCUUGAAUCCGGGAGAGGGAUGCGGAAUUCCAGGUGUAGCGGUGAAAUGCGUAGAUAUCUGGAGGAACACCGGUGGCGAAGGCGGCAUCCUGGACCGGCAUUGACGCUGAGGCGCGAAAGCCAGGGGAGCAAACGGG
rnacentral:rRNA from 1 species